AGCACAGAGCAGGUCAUGCAUAUUAAACAUGAAGUUUUUACUACAGUUGGUUCAAUCAGCUGAAAGAAAAACAUGUUCCAUUCCCCCCCUCAUCUUUUACAGCGUCCCAGCUGCUGCUUUUGGCAGGGCCAUUCCUCAGUGGGUGUCCAGGGAUCUGAUUCCAGGGCAACGAUGCCCAGUGGACCAAGGGCAUCCUCUCCCUGCCACUGUGCUGGUAAAGGCUGCCUCCCUUGGCGUGGAUGUGAUGUUCUGAUGUGAAGUGCCUGCAGCCCUGUCCAUCCCCUCUGCUUCCAUCACUGGAGUGGUUCCUGGGACCGAACAGAUGAGGUGAAGCAGAGAUGUGAAACCUUCAGUGUGGGGCCCCUGCGAUGAAGCUGUUUGAUGGAUGAAUAUGGAGUGGCUGAGGUGACCUUCUCAAGAGGUGAUGGAUGCUCUGUUGUACCCUGCAUCCCUGGUGCCUGCCGAAGGGAUGGAGACCUUUGCAGGACAGCACUUGGCAAAGCCCCCACCAACGUCAGGGCACUCAUCACCAAACCAUCACGGUAUGUAAAUGCAUGGGAUUAAUCACUUUAUCAUCCAAAUACAGGUGGAUUAAUGCACUCUCUUAAUACUCUGUUUAAGCAGCUGAUUUUUAAAAAAGCUGAAUAAUUGAGGGGAAUUACUGUAAAAUUAGAAAAUUUAACAGUUUAUUUACUGCUUAUUGUCAGAGUUGAUGGCUAAGAAAAGCUGGUAGGUCCACACCACGGCCAUGGGUCAAGGAAUGGCCAUUACCGGGGGGNNNNNNNNNNNNNNNNNNNNGGGGGGAUGGCAGGGAUCAGGGGAGAUGCUGGUGCUAUGUACCCCUGGCUGUGGAAAACAGGAACACCAAAAGUGGCUUCCUCCGUCUCCCCUGUAGCUGCUAGGGAAGUGUUAGCAGUGAUUGCUCUGCUGGUGCAGCCAAGUCCCGUUAUCAAAACAGGACUGAAAAAGCAAGGAAAUAAUUAAAACCAGCCCUCACCCCCAGGCACUGUUAUUUGCUCUGGAUAAAAAUACUUCUUUCGGUGGAAGUGGCAGCAAAACACUUUGAUCUCAGCCCGUCUAUAACAGCCCAUCUGCUAAGACAGAUCUGGUGACCAUGUGCAUCGUGUUGUGGCUGUGCCCAGGGCAGCCGGAUGACUCGGGAGGGCUCUGGGGCUCAGCCCCUGGCUCUGAUAUCAAUGGGCAAAGGCACUGUUGUAAGAGGC
rnacentral:lncRNA from 14 species